rnacentral:rRNA from 1 species
AGCUAAUAGAUACCCGGGUAGUCCACGCCCUAAACGAUGUCGACUGGUUGUUGGGGGUUUGACACUCUCAGUAAACGAAAGCUAAACGCGUGAAGUCGACCGCCUGGGGAGUACGGCCGCAAGGUUAAAACUCAAAGGAAUUGACGGGGACCCGCACAAGCGGUGGAUUAUGUGGAUUAAUUCGAUGCAACGCGAAAAACCUUACCUACCCUUGACAUGUCCGAGAGCCCGGUGAGAGCUGGGUGUGCCCGAAAGGGAAUCGGAACACAGGUGCUGCAUGGCUGUCGUCAGCUCGUGUCGUGAGAUGUUGGGUUAAGUCCCGCAACGAGCGCAACCCUUGUCAUUAGUUGCUACAUUCAGUUGGGCACUCUAAUGAGACUGCCGGUGACAAACCGGAGGAAGGUGGGGAUGACGUCAAGUCCUCAUGGCCCUUAUGGGUAGGGCUUCACACGUAAUACAAUGGCGCGUACAGAGGGUUGCCAAGGGGCGACCUGGAGCCAAUCCCUUAAAGCGCGUCGUAGUCCGGAUUGCAGUCUGCAACUCGACUGC